rnacentral:lncRNA from 1 species
GAGUAGCCACUUUUUUCUUAUUCACUCGGAUCUCCGCUCCCGACACCCCCGUCGCCGCCCCCCCAACCCCCCGCCCAGUUGUUUGGCUCCGGCGGGGAGUCCAGACGUUUCUUUGCAAAUAACAGCCUGGAGGCGACACUCGCGGAGGGAACGAGGUUUGCACUGAGCACCCCGCCCCCCGGGGCUCCAGCGCUGGAAGACCCUCGCCCUAGGCCCUGCUUCUGAAUCGCUGGUUUUAAAAUGCGAAUCGAAUAAAUUGCGUGGCGUUUUGCAGCACCAGAAGUGAGCAGAAAGUGCUGGCAGGAGGGGAGUGGAGGGGCGAACGCGAGUCUUGGGGAGGGGGCGCGGCCCUCCUCCCCGCACCCACUCCAAAUGGAAAACUAACAUUCCGGGCGGGGGAACUUGAAAUUGUAGGCGACCUCAAGAAAAGAGGGGCGGUCCGUAGAGAGGGUCCCCAUUGGGCUCGUCGCCCCCUCCCCCCUCCCGGGUGCCUCCUGGCGCCUAGCGCUGCCCCGCAUUUCCGGGGGGUGGAGAAGGCAGUGAUGAGCGGGUGGGUGGGUGGUUGCACAUCCUGGCCCCAGCAGGAUUUUGCCCCGGGGCGACCCCUUCCUCCUUGCUCUUCCUUCCCAUUACCCCGAAAGGGUUAAAAACCGAGGGGUAACUUCCA